AUCGUCACACAUAUACCGACACGGUAACCUGGGUGCCUUUUCCUCUUACUUGAGUGAAUCGGUUGGUUUUCGGGGUAUAUGGAGGCUUAAC
rnacentral:sRNA from 1 species